rnacentral:rRNA from 1 species
GACAGAGGGUGCAAACGUUGUUCGGAAUCACUGGGCGUAAAGCGUGUGUAGGCGGGUCUUUAAGUCAGGGGUGAAAUCCUGGAGCUCAACUCCAGAACUGCCUUUGAUACUGAAGAUCUUGAGUUCGGGAGAGGUGAGUGGAACUGCGAGUGUAGAGGUGAAAUUCGUAGAUAUUCGCAAGAACACCAGUGGCGAAGGCGGCUCACUGGCCCGGUACUGACGCUGAGGUGCGAAAGCGUGGGGAGCAAACAGG